rnacentral:rRNA from 1 species
GGAUCCAGACUUUGAUUAUGGCUCAGGAUGAACGCUAGCUACAGGCUUAACACAUGCAAGUCGAGGGGAAACGACAUCGAAAGCUUGCUUUUGAUGGGUGUCGACCGGCGCACGGGUGAGUAACGCGUAUCCAACCUGCCCAUCACUUGGGAAUAACCUUGCGAAAGUAAGACUAAUACCCAAUGAUAUCCCACGAAGGCAUCCGAAUGGGAUUAAAGAUUUAUCCGUGAUGGAUGGGGAUGCGUCUGAUUAGCUUGUUGGCGGGGUAACGGCCCACCAAGGCAACGAUCAGUAGGGGUUCUGAGAGGAAGGUCCCCCACAUUGGAACUGAGACACGGUCCAAACUCCUACGGGAGGCAGCAGUGAGGAAUAUUGGUCAAUGGGCGAGAGCCUGAACCAGCCAAGUAGCGUGCAGGAAGACGGCCCUAUGGGUUGUAAACUGCUUUUAUAAGGGAAUAAAGUGAGUCUCGUGAGACUUUUUGCAUGUACCUUAUGAAUAAGGACCGGCUAAUUCCGUGCCAGCAGCCGCGGUAAUACGGAAGGUCCGGGCGUUAUCCGGAUUUAUUGGGUUUAAAGGGAGCGUAGGCCGGAGAUUAAGCGUGUUGUGAAAUGUAGAGGCUCAACCUCUGCACUGCAGCGCGAACUGGUCUUCUUGAGUACGCACAACGUGGGCGGAAUUCGUGGUGUAGCGGUGAAAUGCUUAGAUAUCACGAAGAACUCCGAUUGCGAAGGCAGCUCACGGGAGCGCAACUGACGCUGAAGCUCGAAAGUGCGGGUAUCGAACAGGAUUAGAUACCCUGGUAGUCCGCACGGUAAACGAUGGAUGCCCGCUGUUGGCCUGAAUAGGUCAGCGGCCAAGCGAAAGCAUUAAGCAUCCCACCUGGGGAGUACGCCGGCAACGGUGCAACUCAAAUGAAUUGACGG